rnacentral:rRNA from 1 species
ACUCAAAUGAAUAGACGGGGGAGCACCGCAACGGGAGGAGCGUGCGGUUCAAUUGGAUUCAACGCCGGACAACUCACCAGGAGCGACGGUUACAUGAAGGCCAGGCUGAUGACCUUGCCUGAUUUUCCGAGAGGUGGUGCAUGGCCGUCGUCAGUUCGUACCGUAAGGCGUUCUCUUAAGUGAGAUAACGAACGAGACCCUCGCCGCUAAUUGCCAAUGCUCUCUCCGGAGGGCACGCACAUUAACGGGACCGCUGUCGCUAAGACAGAGGAAGGAGAGGUCAACGGUAGGUCCGUAUGCCCCGAAUCUCCUGGGCUACACGCGCGCUACAAAGGUUGGGACAAUGGGCUCCGACAUCGAAAGGUGAAGGCAAUCUCGAAACCCAAUCGUAGUUCGGAUUGAGGGUUGUAACUCACCCUCAUGAAGCUGGAUUCCGUAGUAAUCGCUUGUCAACAUCAAGCGGUGAAUAUGCCCCUGCUCCUUGCACACACCGCCCGU